rnacentral:lncRNA from 1 species
GCAGAAAAAUGUAGAUUGAAAAGAGUUUUAUUUCAGGAAAGUUGACUAUAUAUAUAUGACACGAAAUCAAAGGACCCUAUUUGGGAUAUAGGUAGGGCACCUUCUUAUGCUAAGGACAUAGAUUUACAACAAGUUGGAAAUAUGGACUAUGAACAUCAAAACAUAGAACUAUCAAACUGAUUUAAGCAUCUUCGGAUCAAGUGCAGAAGCAGUUGAAAUUUUGAAAAAGUAUGAACUGCUAAAAUAAGAGGAAGACAAGCAAAAUGAAAAACUAUUUUACUACAAACUGUGUGAAAUU